UGUUCUUUUGUGAUGUUUAGGUCGUUUGACCGGUUUGCCUAGUAAUCUUAUGAUCUAUCGGUAGCGGCGGUACCUACUAGUAGUUCUCCUCCCCGGCCUCUUCCACUUCGAAAAGCCGUACACCCGCUCGGGGAUGCACGAGUUCCACUCUACCCGCGACUCGUAGUUCCCGCACCUCAUGCUCAUGCACCUCCUCCUGGACUCCUUGUUCUCGUCGCUGGAGGACCUCGUGUUGGGGCACGUGUUCUUCCAGGGGCACGACGAGAUGGCGCCGUCUGGCCACCGCCUCAGGCUGCAGUAGCAGCUCAAGCAACUACUCCGCACCUCGGUGGCGCCGCCGGCGUAGGAGGGACUGCUGGGGAUGGUCGCGCGGUACCGGGCGAAGACCCACUCCAAGCACGUACUGUUCGAGAGCGGCGGCUAGACCUUCACCAAGUGCCGCCGCGGUCCGCUCCCCGUCCUCCGGCGCGACCCCCGGCGGCACCUCGUCGACGUCCAGGACCUCCUGAACGAGCGGCAGCCGCCGUUCCUCAAGAAGCGGCCCCUCUCGCAGCCCGAGCAGCUGGACAGCGACCCGCGCUACCGUAUGCACCAGGGCUACAUGCUCCUCUAGUAGCCGCACUCCGACCAGUGGCUCCUCUCCAAGGGCAGAGACAGCCGCACCUACCCGGCUAAGAACCUGAGCGGCGGCCACUUCCUAGUGGGCGGCGGUCACCUCUCCGACUUUGGGUCCAUGGCUCGGUACGCACUUCGGAAAGACUUGUACCCGAUCUAGUUUCGGUGACAGACGCAGAAAGUCAAUUUUAUUCUAACGAACAUGAUCGUACUAUAUACGUCAGGAUGGGGCGUUUUUUUUCUAUAUAUGUCAGGUCACGUAGAACCCGCACAAACUAACGGCGCGCAAUGUGAUGGACGCAACGCAUGGAAAAAGUGAGUCGGACCGAUACAUUUGUCCCGGCCAGGACUCUAAAGCCCCCGGGUCCCGCUUUUAUUUUGAACCCCAGGAAAUAAUAGGUUUUAAUAUUAGUAAUACACGUACGAAUCGAUUAAAAAAUUUUUAGUUGAGUUUUUUUCUAUUAAAAAAUUUGUACUUAACGAGAAAAAAAAUAGUACCCCACGUUUUGGUCGAACGCUGGAUCAAGGUCCUAGAUUAAUAUAUAACAAUAUAAUUCAUAAAGAGUGAAAACAAUUCUAAAACUGUCCCUUCAAAGUAGGUAACAUAUAAAGUAGUAUUAAACCGUUUGUUUUUAUUAAACUCGAGGGGGCGUAUCGACCUUAUUGAAAUAUUAAACGUUGUAAUUUUUAAUUAAAACGGUAGAUUAUUAUAACUUAGCUGGUACUUAGGAGGUUAAUUAAAUUCGAACCGAUAGUAGUAACAAGGUAUCUAAGAUGUGUAGGAGAUGGGAGCAGAAAGUAGCUAUAGGUUGUGUUGGUCUAAUUAAUCAGUCUUCCUAACGGUAAGUUUUUAAUCAGUCUGCCCGUAGGAUCAGAAGAGCGAUUAAGUGAUAGAGGAUUAAGACGGUGAUUAUUUAGUGUAUAGUUAGAUAGAUCGAAACAACCUACUACGUAGUCCUUCUACGAUUGGACUAGUUAGACAUCAAAGACGGACGGUCCCGGCCACCAUAACAAUGAGGAAAGGUACCACUACUUGUACUUUAAUGAGCUAGGCGGUAACCUCCUCCUUGGUAGCCCCCUCCCUAGACGCCCUCCUCCGACACAGCCGCCGCCCCAGCCUGUACCUGAACGCCCUGAACUCCUCAGCACGCACUAUAGCGAGUAUAGUAGUACGUGCCUGGAUACGCUCCCUUUGCCUUCAAGGUGGUUAAAUCCCUUAGCGACUAAAUGGCGUACAUUACAAGCGUACAUGUCCAGACAACGUAGUUUUAAACGGAUCUUAGUAAAAAGGAGUACCCGGACUAUGUCUCUUGUGUGUAUGCACCCCCGGGGAGACAAAGCCCCCGGGCCCCGCCGGCGGGGGGACGGGGGGGUAGUCCCGGCCCGGACAUACAUUUACGUCGGAGUUUACGUAGUAGACGUACAACAAACCAACGGACGUACGGGAGAACGGAUGUACCUGUCUUGGUGUGACGGACCACAAACCAACGGACGUACAAUCACCUGUUUGGGUUCCGUACUACAAACCAACAUACGUUGCGGACCACACACCAUUGGAGAAAACGAUCAACCAUUCCAAUGGUCGUGUGAGGUCGUGUUGGUACAUCGUGUGUAGUAUUCGUCUCGGCCUUCACGUUAGUACAGGAAUUAGAAUAAAACUACAACUACUGUUGUACGUAUGUUCCCUGAUUAGUAAAAAUAGUUCACAUAGAGUCCUAAUUCAGAGUUCCCGCAUACACCUAGUAUUGAUCCCUGUUUACGUAUAGUAAGUUCUAGCCUCAAUGUUCUUUUAUCGAAAUCGAAAAGAAAGAAAUGCCGAAACAAAGAACUCAUAUCCUUAGGGCGUGAUAAUUCUCCCCUAGCAACCUAGAUCACUUUCUCAACGAGUUUUGGGUGGUUGAGGAAAAAAGUGGCCUGCAGGCUAGGGAGCGUCGACGGGCCUGAAGGUCGAGAAGUGCCAGCAGGCCACAAAGAAGUGUCUUGCUAAAAAUGCCUAUAGGCUCGAAGAGGCCUGCAGGCCAGAGGCUUGCAGACAAAAGGAGGCCUCCAGGUUGUGAAAGAGUUGUCUUGUAAUAAAUACCUAAAGGCCAGAAGAGGCCUGCAGGCCAGGGGUCCGCUGGCCGUGCAAGGUCUGCAGGCUACCGACACACGACAAAGCACCGGACACCUAGAGGUCGCUGGCCUGCCGGCUACCAACAGCCUGCAGGCCUGGAUAGAUACGGUGGCCUGUAGGCCAGGACAGGCCUGCAGGCUGGAGAUGUCACGUGAAUUUACCGAGUUUGCUAAUGAAAAGGUGCAGGUGAUAUAUAUCGGAAGAAGGGGUGUGCCCUAUUCCAACUGGUAAGUGAAACUCGGAAGGUUCUUGUGUAGAGUGAGGGAGAGAACUAAGGGAUGUGGUUUAGGAUCUAGGGAUUCCCUAAACCCUUGUAAACUCUCUUCAAGAGGUUAGUUCACUAUCUAGGUGAGGGAGGGUAAGAAGAGUGGUUUCCUUAAGCACUAAACUCGUUCAAGAACUCGAAAAGGGUAGCAAGAACAAUGAGAACCUCCAACCUCUGAGGAUCCGCCAUCCUCACAAAGCCUCUCCUUAGCUGGUAACACUAAUGGGGGCCUUUUCAAACACUCCCAAACCUCUGGUGGGGUUUCAGAUGGUGAUCACCAACUCUUUGCGGAGGCACCACAACAGAGUUUUCCUCUUAUCCCACUCGGAAGCACCGCAACCACACGGCAGCACUAUUGUAGGUGGAGAGAUUGCCACUGCAUCGAAGGGAGGUUCCUUCACUUGUAGCCGUAUGUGGGAGCAGAGGGCCCCAACGCCAAUAAGGAUUGGAAUUGAGAGAUGAACACCAAUGAACAGAGAAUCGUGAAUGAAUAUGGUAUAACACGAACGAAUGAAUGUAUGAACCCAAUAAACAAAUAGAAAGAAUCGAGAAAGAACGUUAACAAUCCGAGUGAAAGUAUAAGGUGUGAUAACGGAUUUUAACGAUUCAUUAUUAAUUUUAAACAUUAACAUGGAUAAGUGGGGGGGAGAUCCAGGUAGAGCUAGGGAAAAUUAACCAUAGUCUCGGAGCACGAGAUAAGAACACCGAAUUGGCGGGAUCUCGCUCUACUUGGGACUACCCUGAGGGGAACAACGUCUAGGCUUCUUAUGCCCACGCCGAAGGUGCCUUCGGUUCAGGAAGUGAAGUCUCCUAGACCUUGCUCGAGAACGAUUCGUUUUCCUCCUCGUACUACGGAGAGAACUCCGGAACCAGGUUUACUCCAAUCGAUGUGAUUGGUGCUACGAACGUGGUGAAAGAUCACCACACCGGAGCUCCGGUCGAUACGGAUGAGGAAGUGAACCGGUUGUUGGAGGGGAGGUUACAAGGAACCGAAAUACUUUCUGGAGUUUAUCUCUUUGGAUUCAUAUUGGGAGUUCCGUUUGGAGGAAAUGAACUACUUUGAUGGCUAAAACGAAACACCUCUCAACGAUACGUCCUAGUAGAAACUAUACCUUUACUACUCUACAACCUCUAGAACCUCAUACCGAUGGUUCGACAACUGGGCUUCUUAGAAUGAGGUUCUCUCCAUAUACUGUUCUUAGAGUCACUGUGUCGUUGGUACACGUAUUCUUCUCCAUACUGGCUGUUCUUUUCCUCUGGUAUGUAUGUAUAGUGUUCACGGUUCCUUAAUACCCUAUGGUAACACUCUUGGUUCUGGUCGUGGAGGUGAGAGGCCGAACGAGUUAUACUUUAACGGUUCCCAGUUAGUGUUUUUUUAACAUACCUCUUUCCACUUAGAGGGUUCUUUGAUGAACUCGCAGAGUACUGAGAGUGGCGGUUGUAACUCAGUACACUUACACUGUUCUGAGUUCUACCUAAAUUGAACUGGUUCGCUAAAGAACACCUAUUUAACGAAGUACGAGAACGAGGUAUAGUAGUGGUUUACCACACCCCGUAUUCUUUUGUGGUACCUAAGUUCCUUUACUGAAGCCCACUGUAGUAUAGAUGAAAGGUUGUUAAAAUU
rnacentral:rRNA from 1 species